AAAUGGAUUAGUUGUGUAAUGAGCAAGCAAGUUUGAUGUGGUCGACGCGUCAGUUCAAACAGACGGACAUCACGCUGACAUCGCUUCCCGCGGAAGUGCUAAUAAGGCAUGUGCUAUUUCCAAAAGGGCUUUUUUCAGUCGGAGCGACCUUGUUGGAUGCCAUGUAAACGUCUAUUCAACAGGCCUGCAUUUGGGGUAUUUCCUGGAGAAGAUCGGCCCAGAAGACUUUAAAACAUUCUCAAUGAGUUUGCCUUUUGUCUUCUGAUCCAUGUAUUUCAAAUUUUGAGCACCAUCAACUGGAACUAGGAUGAACAUUUCCGAAGCACAAGAAGCGUGCAGAAGUGAUGAUGUAGACAUUAUUCAACUAUUUACUCCUGAAUUUUAUUUUUUGAUUAU